AUUGAACGCUGGCGGCAGGCCUAACACAUGCAAGUCGAGCGAGACGCGGACGUGAUAGCUAGGUAUGGGCAUCUGCCUGAUGGAUGGGGAUAGCUACUGGAAACUGUAGCUACUACCGCACACCUUCACCUGAACCCAUAUGGGAUUAGCUUGUAGGUGAGGUAACGGCUCACCUAGGCGACGAUCCCUACCUGGUCUGAGAGGAUGAUCAGCCACACUGGAACUGAGACACGGCCCAGACUCCUACGGGAGGCAGCAGUGGGGAAUAUUGGACAAUGGGCGAAAGCCUGAUGCAGCCAUGCCGCGUGUGUGAAGAAGGCCUUCGGAUUGUAAAGUACUUUCAGUCGGGAGGCGUUACCAACAGAAGAAGCACCGGCUAACUCCGUGCCAGCCGCCGCGGUAAUAC
rnacentral:rRNA from 1 species